UACGUAGGAGACGAGCGUUGUCCGGAAUUACUGGGCGUAAAGCGCGUGUAGGCGGAUGAGCAAGUCUGCUGUGAAAGCUCCUGGCUUAACCGGGAGUGGUCGGUGGAAACUGCUCGUCUGGAGGACGGUAGAGGUAGGUAGAAUUCCCGGUGUAGCAGUGAAAUGCGUAGAGAUCGGGAGGAACAUCUGUGGCGAAGGCGACUGCCUGGACCAGCACUGACGACUGAGGCACGAAAGCGUGGGGAGCAAACAGG
rnacentral:rRNA from 1 species